UUAAGUUAUUAAGGGCGCACGGUGGAUGCCUUGGCACUAGAAGCCGAUGAAGGACGUUACUAACGACGAUAUGCUUUGGGGAGCUGUAAGUAAGCUUUGAUCCAGAGAUUUCCGAAUGGGGAAACCCAGCAUGAGUUAUGUCAUGUUAUCGAUAUGUGAAUACAUAGCAUAUCAGAAGGCACACCCGGAGAACUGAAACAUCUUAGUACCCGGAGGAAGAGAAAGAAAAUUCGAUUCCCUUAGUAGCGGCGAGCGAAACGGGAAGAGCCCAAACCAACAAGCUUGCUUGUUGGGGUUGUAGGACACUCUAUACGGAGUUACAAAGGACGACAUUAGACGAAUCAUCUGGAAAGAUGAAUCAAAGAAGGUGAUAAUCCUGUAGUCGAAAAUGUUGUCUCUCUUGAGUGGAUCCUGAGUACGACGGAGCACGUGAAAUUCCGUCGGAAUCUGGGAGGACCAUCUCCUAAGGCUAAAUACUCUCUAGUGACCGAUAGUGAACCAGUACCGUGAGGGAAAGGUGAAAAGCACCCCGGAAGGGGAGUGAAAUAGAACCUGAAACCGUGUGCUUACAAGUAGUCAGAGCCCGUUAAUGGGUGAUGGCGUGCCUUUUGUAGAAUGAACCGGCGAGUUACGAUUUGAUGCAAGGUUAAGCAGUAAAUGUGGAGCCGUAGCGAAAGCGAGUCUGAAUAGGGCGUUUAGUAUUUGGUCGUAGACCCGAAACCAGGUGAUCUACCCUUGGUCAGGUUGAAGUUCAGGUAACACUGAAUGGAGGACCGAACCGACUUACGUUGAAAAGUGAGCGGAUGAACUGAGGGUAGCGGAGAAAUUCCAAUCGAACCUGGAGAUAGCUGGUUCUCUCCGAAAUAGCUUUAGGGCUAGCCUCAAGUGAUGAUUAUUGGAGGUAGAGCACUGUUUGGACGAGGGGCCCCUCUCGGGUUACCGAAUUCAGACAAACUCCGAAUGCCAAUUAAUUUAACUUGGGAGUCAGAACAUGGGUGAUAAGGUCCGUGUUCGAAAGGGAAACAGCCCAGACCACCAGCUAAGGUCCCAAAAUAUAUGUUAAGUGGAAAAGGAUGUGGCGUUGCCCAGACAACUAGGAUGUUGGCUUAGAAGCAGCCAUCAUUUAAAGAGUGCGUAAUAGCUCACUAGUCGAGUGACACUGCGCCGAAAAUGUACCGGGGCUAAACAUAUUACCGAAGCUGUGGAUUGUCCUUUGGACAAUGGUAGGAGAGCGUUCUAAGGGCGUUGAAGCAUGAUCGUAAGGACAUGUGGAGCGCUUAGAAGUGAGAAUGCCGGUGUGAGUAGCGAAAGACGGGUGAGAAUCCCGUCCACCGAUUGACUAAGGUUUCCAGAGGAAGGCUCGUCCGCUCUGGGUUAGUCGGGUCCUAAGCUGAGGCCGACAGGCGUAGGCGAUGGAUAACAGGUUGAUAUUCCUGUACCACCUAUAAUCGUUUUAAUCGAUGGGGGGACGCAGUAGGAUAGGCGAAGCGUGCGAUUGGAUUGCACGUCUAAGCAGUAAGGCUGAGUAUUAGGCAAAUCCGGUACUCGUUAAGGCUGAGCUGUGAUGGGGAGAAGACAUUGUGUCUUCGAGUCGUUGAUUUCACACUGCCGAGAAAAGCCUCUAGAUAGAAAAUAGGUGCCCGUACCGCAAACCGACACAGGUAGUCAAGAUGAGAAUUCUAAGGUGAGCGAGCGAACUCUCGUUAAGGAACUCGGCAAAAUGACCCCGUAACUUCGGGAGAAGGGGUGCUCUUUAGGGUUAACGCCCAGAAGAGCCGCAGUGAAUAGGCCCAAGCGACUGUUUAUCAAAAACACAGGUCUCUGCUAAACCGUAAGGUGAUGUAUAGGGGCUGACGCCUGCCCGGUGCUGGAAGGUUAAGAGGAGUGGUUAGCUUCUGCGAAGCUACGAAUCGAAGCCCCAGUAAACGGCGGCCGUAACUAUAACGGUCCUAAGGUAGCGAAAUUCCUUGUCGGGUAAGUUCCGACCCGCACGAAAGGCGUAACGAUUUGGGCACUGUCUCAACGAGAGACUCGGUGAAAUCAUAGUACCUGUGAAGAUGCAGGUUACCCGCGACAGGACGGAAAGACCCCGUGGAGCUUUACUGUAGCCUGAUAUUGAAAUUCGGCACAGCUUGUACAGGAUAGGUAGGAGCCUUUGAAACGUGAGCGCUAGCUUACGUGGAGGCGCUGGUGGGAUACUACCCUAGCUGUGUUGGCUUUCUAACCCGCACCACUUAUCGUGGUGGGAGACAGUGUCAGGCGGGCAGUUUGACUGGGGCGGUCGCCUCCUAAAAGGUAACGGAGGCGCUCAAAGGUUCCCUCAGAAUGGUUGGAAAUCAUUCAUAGAGUGUAAAGGCAUAAGGGAGCUUGACUGCGAGACCUACAAGUCGAGCAGGGUCGAAAGACGGACUUAGUGAUCCGGUGGUUCCGCAUGGAAGGGCCAUCGCUCAACGGAUAAAAGCUACCCCGGGGAUAACAGGCUUAUCUCCCCCAAGAGUUCACAUCGACGGGGAGGUUUGGCACCUCGAUGUCGGCUCAUCGCAUCCUGGGGCUGUAGUCGGUCCCAAGGGUUGGGCUGUUCGCCCAUUAAAGCGGUACGCGAGCUGGGUUCAGAACGUCGUGAGACAGUUCGGUCCCUAUCCGUCGUGGGCGUAGGAAAUUUGAGAGGAGCUGUCCUUAGUACGAGAGGACCGGGAUGGACAUACCUCUGGUGUACCAGUUGUCGUGCCAACGGCAUAGCUGGGUAGCUAUGUGUGGACGGGAUAAGUGCUGAAAGCAUCUAAGCAUGAAGCCCCCCUCAAGAUGAGAUUUCCCAACUUCGGUUAUAAGAUCCCUCAAAGAUGAUGAGGUUAAUAGGUUCGAGGUGGAAGCAUGGUGACAUGUGGAGCUGACGAAUACUAAUCGAUCGAAGACUUAAUCAA
rnacentral:rRNA from 1 species